rnacentral:tRNA from 1 species
GGUUGCGUAGCUCAGCUGGAUAGAGCACCUGCCUUCUAAGCAGGCGGUCACAGGUUCGAAUCCUGUCGCAAUCA